ACGGGUGCGUAACACAUGAGUCAUCUGCCCAGAAGUGGGGAAUAGCUCGGCGAAAGCCGGAUUAAUACCGCAUGUGGUCGUAAGACCACAGCCGGGGCAACCUGGCGCUUUUGGAGGAGCUCGUGGCCUAUCAGCUAGUUGGUGAGGUAACGGCUUACCAAGGCAACGACGGGUAGCUGGUCUGAGAGGACGACCAGCCACACUGGAACUGAGAUACGGUCCAGACACCUACGGGUGGCAGCAGUCGAGAAUUUUUCUCAAUGGGGGAAACCCUGAAGGAGCGACGCCGCGUGGAGGAUGAAUGCUUUCGGGUUGUAAACUCCUGUCAUUUGGGAACAAGGCCUUACGUUAACUACGUGGAGGAUUGAUAGUACCAGAAGAGGAAGAGACGGCUAACUCUGUGCCGGCAGCCGCGGUAAUACAGAGGUCUCAAGCGUUGUUCGGAUUCAUUGGGCGUAAAGGGCGCGUAGGCGGCGGGGUAAGUCUGGUGUGAAAUCUAGGAGCUCAACUCCUAAACUGCACUGGAUACUGCUCUGCUGGAGGACUGGAGAGGAGACUGGAAUUCACGGUGUAGCAG
rnacentral:rRNA from 1 species